AAUAACACCAAAGGCCUAUUUAUUUCAUCCAAACUGAAUUUUGGGUUGAAGUAGAUUUUGGUAAAAACUAUUUUUUUCUCGCUGUUUAUUUUUAUAACUAUGAAAGUGAAGUUUUUUCAGUUUUACUAUCAGUUUAGCAGAAAAUAAAUAAUAUAAAAAUAUAAUUAAUAUAUCAAUAAUAAAUAACUUAAAUUAUCAAUAAAAUAAUACAGUAAAAAAAUAUAAAUAAUUAACUAAUUAUUUUUCAUCAUAUUUUAAAUAUACAAACUAAAUUAAAAAAAUAAAACUUAACUAAUCAAUUUUUAUCAUAUUUUAAGUAUGCAAAUUAAAUAAAAAAUUAAUUAGUGUCAUAGUUAAAUAUAUUUAAAUAAAACUACAAUUACUUAUUGUAUUAUUUUAUUAUUUUUUUUCUUCAUCUUUAUUCGCUGUAAUUGACUUCGGCUCGGGUGUGCCGAAGUUAAUUAUGCCAUUUCGAAAUAUAACUCGAGUUUCGACUGUCUUCUUAUUACGGCAAACCAAUCAGCAAAAAAUAAUCGUUUACGGCCGAAAACGGUUUCACAAUCUCUACUUUCACCCAAACAAAUAAGCCCAAAUUGAAGUGUAUAUAUACA
rnacentral:lncRNA from 1 species